UUAGUACCUGAUCAGGUAGUGACGGUAUCCAACCAGAAAGCCACGGCUACUAACGUGCCAGCAGCGCCGGUAAUACGUAGUGGCAAGCGUUGUCCGGAUUUAUUUGGGCGUAAAGCGAGCGCAGGCGGUUUCUUAAGUCUGAUGUGAAAGCCUUCGGCUCAACCGAAGAAGUGCAUCGGAAACUGGGAAACUUGAGUGCAGAAGAGGACAGUGGAACUCCAUGUGUAGCGGUGAAAUGCGUAGAUAUAUGGAAGAACACCAGUGGCGAAGGCGGCUGUCUGGUCUGUAACUGACGCUGAGGCUCGAAAGCAUGGGUAGCAACCAGGAUUAGAUACCCUGGUAGUCCAUGCCGUAAACGAUGAGUGCUAGGUGUUGGAGGGUUUCCGCCCUUCAGUGCCGCAGCUAACGCAUUAAGCACUCCGCCUGGGGAGUACGACCGCAAGGUUAAACUCAAAGGAAUUGACGGGGGCCCGCACAAGCGGUGGAGCAUGUGGUUUAAUUCGAAGCAACGCGAAGAACCUUACCAGGUCUUGACAUCCUUUGACCACUCUAGAGAUAGAGCUUUCCCUUCGGGGACAAAGUGACAGGUGGUGCAUGGUUGUCGUCAGCUCGUGUCGUGAGAUGUUGGGUUAAGUCCCGCAACGAGCGCAACCCUUAUUACUAGUUGCCAGCAUUUAGUUGGGCACUCUAGUGAGACUGC
rnacentral:rRNA from 2 species